rnacentral:rRNA from 1 species
GACGAACGCUGGCGGCGUGCCUAAUACAUGCAAGUCGAACGAAGCUGUUUUAACUGGUGCUUGCACCGACUUAAACAACUGAGUGGCGAACGGGUGAGUAACACGUGGGUAACCUGCCCCAAAGCGGGGGAUAACAUUUGGAAACAGAUGCUAAUACCGCAUAACCACAGAAACCACAUGGUUUCUGUGCCAAAGAUGGUUUCGGCUAUCACUUUGGGAUGGACCCGCGGCGUAUUAGCUAGUUGGUAAGGUAAUGGCUUACCAAGGCAAUGACACGUAGCCGGACUGAGAGGUGGAUCGGCCACAUUGGGACUGAGACACGGCCCAAACUCCUACGGGAGGCAGCAGUAGGGAAUCUUCCACAAUGGACGAAAGUCUGAUGGAGCAACGCCGCGUGAGUGAAGAAGGUUUUCGGAUCGUAAAACUCUGUUGUCAGAGAAGAACGUGUGCGAGAGUAACUGCUCGUGCAGUGGCGGUAUCUGGCCAGAAAGCCACGGCUAACUACGUGCCAGCCGCCGCCGUAA